AACGAACGCUGGCGGCAGGCCUAACACAUGCAAGUCGAGCGCGCCUUCGGGUGAGCGGCGGACGGGUGAGUAACGCGUGGGAAUAUGCCCUUCUCUACGGAAUAGUCCUGGGAAACUGGGGGUAAUACCGUAUACGCCCCUUGGGGGAAAGAUUUAUCGGGGAAGGAUUAGCCCGCGUUGGAUUAGGUAGUUGGUGGGGUAAUGGCCUACCAAGCCGACGAUCCAUAGCUGGUUUGAGAGGAUGAUCAGCCACACUGGGACUGAGACACGGCCCAGACUCCUACGGGAGGCAGCAGUGGGGAAUCUUAGACAAUGGGGGCAACCCUGAUCUAGCCAUGCCGCGUGAGUGAUGAAGGCCUUAGGGUUGUAAAGCUCUUUCAGCUGGGAAGAUAAUGACGGUACCAGCAGAAGAAGCCCCGGCUAACUCCGUG
rnacentral:rRNA from 1 species